rnacentral:rRNA from 1 species
GACGAACGCUGGCGGCGUGCUUAACACAUGCAAGUCGAACGGAAAGGCCCUGCUUGUGUGUGGUGCUCGAGUGGCGAACGUGUGAGUAACACGUGAGUAACCUGCCCUUGACUUUGGGAUAACUUCAGGAAACUGGGGCUAAUACCGGAUAGGAGCUCCUGCUGCAUGGUGGGGUUUGGAAAGUUUCGGCGGUUGGGGAUGGACUCGUGGCUUAUCAGCUUGUUGGUUGGGGAGUGGCUUACCAAGGCUUUGGCGGGUAGCCGGCCUGAGAGGGUGACCGGCCACAUUGGGCCUGAGAUACGGCCCAGACUCCUACGGGAGGCAGCAGUGGGGAAUAUUGCACAAUGGGCGGAAGCCUGAUGCAGCAACGCCGCGUGCGGGAUGACGGCCUUCGGGUUGUAAACCGCUUUCGCCUGUGACGAAGCGUGAGUGACGGUAAUGGGUAAAGAAGCACCGGCUAACUACGUG